rnacentral:tRNA from 1 species
UGGCUCAGUGGUUAAGAGUGCUGGGCGUUCUUCCAGAGGUCCUGAGUUCAAUUCUCAG